rnacentral:rRNA from 1 species
UACAGGGGGGGCAAGCGUUGUUCGGAAUUACUGGGCGUAAAGGGCCAGUAGGCGGCCAACUAAGUCGGAUGUGAAAUCCCCAGGCUCAACCUGGGAACUGCAUCCGAUACUGGAUGGCUUGAAUUCGGGAGAGGGAUGCAGAAUUCCAGGUGUAGCGGUGAAAUGCGUAGAUAUCGGAAGGAACACCAGUGGCGAAAGCGGCUUCCUGGUCCAGCACCGACGUUCAGGCACGAAAGCGUGGGGAGCAAACAGG